rnacentral:hammerhead_ribozyme from 1 species
AUCCAGCUGAUGAGUCCAAAAUAAGACGAAACUAGUGUUCUGGAU